GAUGAACGCUGGCGGCGUGCCUAAUACAUGCAAGUCGAGCGCAGGAAAUCGACGGAACCCUUCGGGGGGAAGUCGACGGAAUGAGCGGCGGACGGGUGAGUAACACGUAAAGAACCUGCCCUCAGGUCUGGGAUAACCACGAGAAAUCGGGGCUAAUACCGGAUGGGUCAUCGGACCGCAUGGUCCGAGGAUGAAAGGCGCUUCGGCGUCGCCUGGGGAUGGCUUUGCGGUGCAUUAGCUAGUUGGUGGGGUAAUGGCCCACCAAGGCGACGAUGCAUGGCCGACGUGAGAGGGUGAGCGGCCAAACUGGGACUGAGACACGGCCCAGACUCCUACGGGAGGCAGCAGUAGGGAAUCUUCCACAAUGGACGAAAGUCUGAUGGAGCAACGCCGCGUGAACGAUGAAGGCCUUCGGGUCGUAAAGUUCUGUUGUAAGGGAAGAACAAGUGCCGCAGGCAAUGGCGGCACCUUGACGGUACCUUGCGAGAAAGCCACGGCUAACUACGUGCCAGCCGCCGCCGUAA
rnacentral:rRNA from 1 species